CUUAAAACACUUGCACGCAUCUUCCGGGACGUUGGAAACACAGACAUGAAGUAUAAGAACCGUGUACGGAGUCGUAUCUCCAACCUGAAGGAUGCCAAGAACCCUGACCUGCGGCGGAAUGUGCUGUGUGGGGCCAUAACACCCCAGCAGAUCGCUGUGAUGACCUCAGAGAGAUGGCCAGUGAUGAGCUGAAGGAGAUCCGUAAGGCCAUGACCAAGGAGGCCAUCCGAGAGCACCAGAUGGCCCGCACUGGCGGC
rnacentral:lncRNA from 1 species